rnacentral:lncRNA from 1 species
UUGGCCCGCAUCUGAGAGGCCGCUUCAUUAUUCAGGCCGUGGUCCGAUGACGGUGGGACCAGAGAUUCCAGAGAGGGGCCCUCAGCCUCCAGGAGCCAGCCUCUUCCCCCGGGGAUGGAGCUGAGCACGCACGGCCGCAGUCGGCAGUGUGGAACCAGAGAUUCGUGGCUGCUGUGAGUAGGUGCUUCUGACGGGGAAAGAAGGACAAGAUGAGAGAUGACAAAAUGGAGGCUUUCAGAGAUGAAGCCCUGGUGACAGUCACAACCAGUGUCCUUUGAGAGCCCACUUCAAAGCCCGGGCUUCCUCUUGCCCACUUGCUCGAAGAGACCCGACCUUUUCCUUCCAAGCCUGUAGGCUGUCUGGGAGACCUCUCCAAGCCAGCCGCAUCCCGCUUCGGAGCAGGCCCGUUCCGUUGUUACAGACUCUCCACUAAGAUGCCCUCUUCCCUAAGCCUGUGGGGAGCCAGACAAGGCCUGGAAGGAAGGACCGAUACAGGGCUGUUCUUCCUCGCCCACGCUUCCCACCAGGAACUUCUGUGGAGCCAGAGUUUGCCGCCAGAACCCCCACAGGACCUGGGUGAAACAGGACCAUCUCUUAAGAGGCAAGAGCUCUUGAUUUGAUUGAGGAUUCUUAUUUUGGAGAACAAAGCAACUUCCAGAUUUGAGAAGACCUGCAGUUGAAGAAGACACCAUUGUCCCGGAUCCCUUGUUCUUCCUUCGCGUGGGAAAUGUUUCUUGGCGGGUGCCUGGUCUUAAGACUCCCCCACACCGGCCCCAGGGAAGCCAAGGACUUUCUGCCACACCCUUCCUCGCCCCCCACCUCCCACGUCCGCUGUGCCUUUGGACUCGGCAAUUCUUCUUGUUUGCUCCAUUAUCUUCCAGCCGGAUACAGAGUGAAUAGUUAACUACCCGCAGGUCAAUGGGGUCUUAAUUUUUGUUCCUGCUCCCUCUACAGAGGCCAGUGUCUGUGUGUUGCUAUGCAAGCGGCCUUGGAAUUGCAUCCCUUCUCAUUGAUUUGGGAUCUGGCCCCCGCAGGUUCCAGAGCAAUGUGGGUCCAGGCAGAAAUUCUUCAGGCUCUCAGGAUGUUGGAGGGGGCGCUGGCCGCGAGCUGGACCAUGAAGGCUGGCGUUCCCCACAUUCAGCUUUCUUGGGUUCGGAUCAUAAGCAGGUGUAGAUCUGGAGAAGCAGAAAAUGAACACAUUUUCUACUGACACCGAUGCACGGUCAGCGGUGAAGACCUUCUCCCAGCUAGCAUUUGGGUUCUGUGUCCAAACGCGGCGCUUCAUGGCAGAGUAUCCAGCCACCAGAGUUGGUGUGUCUUGAGGACCUGAAUUCUUGAGUGUGUGCUGGUGACACAGCCCUCUGACAGUCGAUGGGGCCUCACAAAACACAAGUCCUGCCUUUUCCUUUUCACUCUGUGGCCGUCAUACAUACGGCUAAAAACAUUUCCUAGAGAUCAGUCAUGGUUCAGUCGUGUCCAAAACGCAGAGCCAAAGAUGCAUUUUCUCUUUUCACAGCAAAUGAAUGACUUGCCUUCGGAAAAAGAAUGGAAGCCAGACAUUCUGCAUCUUUCCCGUGUUGUAGAUGAUGCAUUUGGAUGACCACUUUGUGACUCUGGUGUCUUAGAAGGGAAGCAGUGGGGUCCUUGGCAUCUCAGAUUCACCACAAAACAGACGAGGAGAACUUCUGGCGGAUGGUUUGUGCUUUUGAAAUGGGAGGCUUGUUUGUGGGCUUUUACCUUCCUUCCUUGACCUGCAGACACCUCAUUGCAUUAGAUUCCUUUGGGUUUUAAGAAGCAGAGACUUGCUGAUACUGCUCCGUACGUGCUGGUUUGUUUCGAGUUGCCAUGGACGUAAAGUAGAAAGGAAGCAGCCCGCCGAGGCGCUCUCCACCUAGGCCUGCCCAAGAAGCCCAAGUCGUUCCAGAUAGCCAGGGAUAGCAGAACCGAACCACCCUGGCCAUCUUGAUCUUCUGUUUGCACCAGCAUCCACUGUUCCCAGGAUCCUACCAUGGUGAUGAGCUGAGGGUGACUCAGUUGGCCCAGGACUGAGGAGUUUCCUGGGAUGCAGGACUUUUUAGUGCUAAACCUAGGACAGUCCUAAGCAAACUGGAACAACCAGUCACCCUACUGGGUGACUCGAGGACCCUGCCUCUCUUCUGCUUUCCCUGCUGUGACUGGCUGAUGCUCUUGAUGGGUCUGGCCAGUCGCCAUUCAAAACUCUUGCGUCAGGCAACUUCAUUGGCCACUGGGCUACCUAUAGAUGGGUGCCCUUGGACCCAGCACCAACCCAUCUUGACCAGAUUUGUUGUUUCCAGGGUCAUAGGGUUGCAUAAUCUAGAAUAAAAGCCUGGCUGUAAACAACCAGCUGAGACCACUUCCUUCAGAAGACUGCUGUGGACAGGUGGCCCUGGCAGGCAUUCAAGGUAAAAUGAGUGAGUCAGGCCACACGCUUCCCAAAGCCUCUGCCAGCGCUGCCAUCCACAGGGCUGCCAUAUUGGAUGCAGUUCAUGACAAAGGAUUUGCUACUUUUUGUUCUCUCUGGCUCUCCUCCUGCCUUCCCUUCAGCUUGCUCCAAGAUCAUGUGGACACACACCUCAGCAACCUCUGCCCCUCUGACCUCAUCCAAGUCACUGGCCUUGGGAGGCAGCCCAGGUGUUUCGAUUGGGCCAACUGCUGACAUUCCCUGCUGGUGACAACUUCUCCUCGAAGGUAUGUGUGGAAGGUGAGAUUUACAGAGGCUGUCGGUCAGGUGACGCGAGAGGAAGAGGGGGCCGUGGUUCAGCGUCCGCAUCUCCCCCGACUCAACCCUCGGAACAGACCAUGGCUGCUUCCUGGGGCACCACUGUGAGACAGGGGUGGGGGAGUGUCUUGGAAAAGAUUUGCUGCAUUGAAAAAAAAGUACUAAAAAGAAAGCCUCUUAGGCCAUGUAGCUUUGGGGUAAGGAAGAGGUGGAGACCUCGCCAGAGUAAGCCUCCGAAGCUUCCUGUUUUCAGGCAAGCGGGAAGCAUAGUGCAAACAUCCUUCUUCAUUUAUGCUCUUUGUUCUUGCUCAGCCAGUGUGCUGUUCGACAGGGUGGCCUUUCAGACGCAUGCUCCCGUCUGCAUUAUCUGCUUCAGAUCAAAAGAGAAAAUGCAUGAGAAUGUGCUCAGAAGGCCUGGUUCCCGCACACAUGCCAGUUAUAAUCAUAAUCAUAAAUGCUCGGGCUGGGACCUCUUGGGGACUCUAGGCUUGUGUGUCCCUCCCUGAGCUCCGUCCGUCUCCUCCCUGGAGAGCUCAGGCCAGCCCGCACUUACUGCAUGUUAAUUGCCAGGCUUCCGUAAGCCUUGGGGGGACUUUCACCCCAGUGGAACCUGAACGAACUAAGUUAGAGAAUGAGGGUUUCCUUUUCUCCCCGAGAGCACGGGGACCAAAGAAUUCAUUCAUUCCAUGCCUUUGCAAAUUCUCUUUGAGCAGCUACUGCUCCCGCCCUCCCCGUCCCCCGCCGCAAGGUCUAUCCGUCCACUAUCAUGUUUCUCCACUUACCCAGGACAGUUCCCCGUUUGCACUGGUUUUCCCAGCGUAGUUACUCAUAGCACAUGUCCAUUUUCAAGAGUGCUCCCGUUGAGAUGAUAAGUUCUGUGGUCUCAAGAUCUGUGAUGCUUCUGGGCAACCAUGAAAAAAAAGUCAGGGAUCUUUUCUAGGUACCAGGACAGGGCACCCAAAUGCUGAUGAUUGAACCAGUUUGGCUCUUUGCUGAUCAUGGCGAUUGGAGGCAGGGGGAUCGGGGAACCGUUGUGUUAGGUCUCCUGGACAACCCUCCAGGGGAUGGAAUGUGCUGGACUAGUAGGUGACCAGAGGUGCGUGGGAGUGGCCUUUGUGCGGUCUCGGUAUUGUCACGGGGUGAAAAAUUAGCCCCCGCUUUUAAAUGCGAUCAGGGAGACGCUCGAUUCAAGUCAAGGUCUUCGUGAGGGAACUGGGCUUUGGGAAUACGGCAGAGUUGAGUGAAAAUAAGCAGCAGCCUCUGAGCCUCUUUGUGGCAAUAUGUUACCAUACGUCCAGUGGGCGGAUGGUCAGGAACAUGUGUCAUUUGUUUAGAAUUCGGCACAUUAGGAGGUGUAUUUGCAUGUGCUCUGACUCAGGGCUCCUGGCAAUGGGAGGCAUGGAGGAAAGGAAUGAUCAACCUCUCUUUAAAAAAAUUUCUUUUCUUUUUCUUUUCAUCUUUUUAGGGCUGGGCAUGUGGCAAAUUCCCAGGCUAGGGGUCGAAUUGGAGCUGUCGCUGCCGGCCUAUGCCGCAGCCACAGCCACAGCCACGCCAGAUCUGAGCCACAACUGCAACCUAGACCACAGCUCACGGCAACACCGGAUCCUUAACCCACUGAGCGAGGCCAGGGAUCGAACCCGCGUCCUCAUGGAUAUUAGGUUGGUGACCGCUGAGCCACCAUGGAACUCCUCACUUUUUUUUUUUUUUCUUAAUUAAAAAAAAAGCAAGGAAACUUUUCCAAAGUUGUCCAGCUAAAGGGUGGCAGAAUCCUGUCUUGAUGAGCUCACUCAAGUCUAUUAGUCUUCCUACCUUAUUUAUUAUCAUGGAGAUCAUAUCAGAAGACAGGCCAGAGCCUUUUGCAUUCCAGAAAUAGGUGUUUUGAUGCUCGCCAAAGGCAGAGCUGGCUCCAGAGGAACAAGCUUAGGGUUCUAUGAGAGCAGUUUAUACACUAUUUAUACAGAGAGCAGCCCCAUCAGAGAGGCUGCUACGAAUUGGGCAGUGGUGACGGAGCUGUUUCCAGAGCUCUGGGGCUCCAAGGGGAUCAAGCCAGCCCAUCUCCCUUUACAACUGGCAGGCCUUCCUGCCCAGAGGAGAAACAGGGGCAGGAGCCCAGCCCUGCACCCAGGGACCAGAGGAGUGGGCCAGGCCCGGGCUCCCGCUACGUGAUUGCGAACAUGUGAAGCCAGGGUGAUUGAACUGCGGGUGACCCCGCGCAGCAAGGAGGCUAAUUAGAGCUUCUCUUCCCCACACUUCAGUCACAAGCCCCCCUCCUGCCCUUCCUCCUGAUGGUGCGGCUGAUAAGGAGGGAUUGAAUUUAUGAAAAGCGAUGAAGAUGUUUGGAUAAGCCUCGGGACCAAGGCGAGCCAGCCGGACGAGUCCGGGCCUGACGGAGGCAGCGGGGUUGUCUGGCAGCGGCGGAAGGGGCCGGCGAGGCCAGGCCGGAGGAAGGGGGGGAAACGAGCCCUGAACGUGACGCCCACGGGCGUGGCCCGGGGGCUGCUCCCCUGGGCCGUCACGGUGGAAAGGGGCUUGCUGAAAGCUGGCUCUGCGGGGAGAUUGUCAGCUUGCCCCAUGUCGCCUGGCAGCCCGCAGCUCCUGCCUGGACCCAGGGAGAGCCUGUGUGAGCAGAAGAAACCAGAGGACCGAGGCUGAUGAGUAACCAAAGGGUGGGAGCCUAGAAAACGGCUCAUCCCUUCCAGAGGUGAAGGUCAGACUGGGAAGAAUAAGGAAGGGGAAAACGUGCACCAAGCACCGGGCAGAGGGCACUGUAUGUCGUAUCCCACUUGGUCCUUUUCUGUGAGUGUCAUGCCUACCGCAUGCAUGGAAUAAGUAAAGCUCAGAGAGGGUCCGUAACUUCCCCAAGGCCACACAGCCAAUAUGUGACGAAUCGAGGCAUCAAAACCAAGUUGUGAAUUAAAAAAAAAAAAAAAA